UAAUACGGAGGGUGCAAGCGUUAAUCGGAAUCACUGGGCGUAAAGCGCACGUAGGCGGCAACGUAAGUCAGAUGUGAAAGCCCCGGGCUCAACCCGGGAACGGCAUUUGAGACUGCGUCGCUCGAGUCUGAGAGAGGGGGGUGGAAUUCCGGGUGUAGCGGUGAAAUGCGUAGAGAUCCGGAGGAACACCAGUGGCGAAGGCGGCCCCCUGGCUCAAGACUGACGCUGAGGUGCGAAAGCGUGGGGAGCAAACAGG
rnacentral:rRNA from 1 species